GCCUAGCCCCGAUGGUAGUGAAAAUCCUCUUGUGCCAGGGUUUGGCACAAGAGAUUGCAACGUACAGCGGGACGACUC
rfam:Flavobacterium sp. LM5 Flavobacterium_sp_LM5_contig1, whole genome shotgun sequence.